rnacentral:lncRNA from 1 species
CAAAAUUUCCUUAAAAUUACCAUUUCAGGGGCAGCAAUCCAACAACGAAAUGUCCGAUUCAUCUUAAAAUUUCAGGGCAGAUAGAUCUUGACCUGAUAAUCAAUUUUACUCCAGUCAGAUUUGCUCUAAAUGCUUUGGUUUUUGAGUUAUAAGCCAAAAACUGCAUUUUACCCCCAUGUUCUAUUUUUAGCCAUGGUGGCCAUCUUGGUUUGUUGGCUGAGUUACC